rnacentral:rRNA from 1 species
GAACGCUAGCUACAGGCUUAACACAUGCAAGUCGAGGGGCAGCAUGGUCUUAGCUUGCUAAGGCCGAUGGCGACCGGCGCACGGGUGAGUAACACGUAUCCAACCUGCCGUCUACUCUUGGACAGCCUUCUGAAAGGAAGAUUAAUACAAGAUGGCAUCAUGAGUCCGCAUGUUCACAUGAUUAAAGGUAUUCCGGUAGACGAUGGGGAUGCGUUCCAUUAGAUAGUAGGCGGGGUAACGGCCCACCUAGUCUUCGAUGGAUAGGGGUUCUGAGAGGAAGGUCCCCCACAUUGGAACUGAGACACGGUCCAAACUCCUACGGGAGGCAGCAGUGAGGAAUAUUGGUCAAUGGGCGAGAGCCUGAACCAGCCAAGUAGCGUGAAGGAUGACUGCCCUAUGGGUUGUAAACUUCUUUUAUAAAGGAAUAAAGUCGGGUAUGCAUACCCGUUUGCAUGUACUUUAUGAAUAAGGAUCGGCUAACUCCGUGCCAGCAGCCGCGGUAAUACGGAGGAUCCGAGCGUUAUCCGGAUUUAUUGGGUUUAAAGGGAGCGUAGAUGGAUGUUUAAGUCAGUUGUGAAAGUUUGCGGCUCAACCGUAAAAUUGCAGUUGAUACUGGAUAUCUUGAGUGCAGUUGAGGCAGGCGGAAUUCGUGGUGUAGCGGUGAAAUGCUUAGAUAUCACGAAGAACUCCGAUUGCGAAGGCAGCCUGCUAAGCUGCAACUGACAUUGAGGCUCGAAAGUGUGGGUAUCAAACAGGAUUAGAUACCCUGGUAGUCCACACGGUAAACGAUGAAUACUCGCUGUUUGCGAUAUACGGCAAGCGGCCAAGCGAAAGCGUUAAGUAUUCCACCUGGGGAGUACGCCGGCAACGGUGAAACUCAAAGGAAUUGACGGGGGCCCGCACAAGCGGAGGAACAUGUGGUUUAAUUCGAUGAUACGCGAGGAACCUUACCCGGGCUUAAAUUGCAGAUGAAUUACGGUGAAAGCCGUAAGCCGCAAGGCAUCUGUGAAGGUGCUGCAUGGUUGUCGUCAGCUCGUGCCGUGAGGUGUCGGCUUAAGUGCCAUAACGAGCGCAACCCUUGUUGUCAGUUACUAACAGGUUCCGCUGAGGACUCUGACAAGACUGCCAUCGUAAGAUGUGAGGAAGGUGGGGAUGACGUCAAAUCAGCACGGCCCUUACGUCCGGGGCUACACACGUGUUACAAUGGGGGGUACAGAGGGCCGCUACCACGCGAGUGGAUGCCAAUCCCCAAAACCUCUCUCAGUUCGGACUGGAGUCUGCAACCCGACUCCACGAAGCUGGAUUCGCUAGUAAUCGCGCAUCAGCCACGGCGCGGUGAAUACGUUCCCGGGCCUUGUACACACCGCCCGUCAAGCCAUGGGAGCCGGGGGUACCUGAAGUGCGUAACCGCGAGGAGCGCCCUAGGGUAAAACUGGUGACUGGGGCUA